rnacentral:rRNA from 1 species
UACGGAGGGAGCUAGCGUUAUUCGGAAUUACUGGGCGUAAAGCGCACGUAGGCGGCUUUGCAAGUUAGAGGUGAAAGCCUGGAGCUCAACUCCAGAACUGCCUUUAAAACUGCAUCGCUUGAAUCCAGGAGAGGUGAGUGGAAUUCCGAGUGUAGAGGUGAAAUUCGUAGAUAUUCGGAAGAACACCAGUGGCGAAGGCGGCUCACUGGAGCUGGUAUUGACGCUGAGGUGCGAAAGCGUGGGGAGCAAACAGGG